CCGAGUUUACAACUCCCAAACCCCUGUGAACAUACCACUUGUUGCCUCGGCGGAUCAGCCCGCGCCCCGUAAAACGGGACGGCCCGCCGCAGGAUCCACAAACUCUGUUUUUAUUGUAACUUCUGAGUAACAAAACAAAUAAAUCA
rnacentral:misc_RNA from 1 species